GCUAACUCCGUGCCAGCAGCCGCGGUAAUACGGAGGAUCCAAGCGUUAUCCGGAAUCAUUGGGUUUAAAGGGUCCGUAGGUGGAUAAUUAAGUCAGAGGUGAAAUCCUGCAGCUCAACUGUAGAAUUGCCUUUGAUACUGGUUAUCUUGAGUUAUUAUGAAGUAGUUAGAAUAUGUAGUGUAGCGGUGAAAUGCAUAGAUAUUACAUAGAAUACCAAUUGCGAAGGCAGAUUACUAAUAAUCAACUGACACUGAUGGACGAAAGCGUGGGGAGCGAACAGGAUUAGAUACCCUGGUAGUCCAUGCCGUAAACGGUGGGCGCUAGGUGUG
rnacentral:rRNA from 1 species